rnacentral:rRNA from 1 species
AAUAUUGGACAAUGGGGGCAACCCUGAUCCAGCAAUGCCGCGUGUGUGAAGAAGGUCUUCGGCUUGUAAAGCAAUUUAAGUUGGGAGGGAGGGCUUUAGGCUAAUACUCUGACGUUUUGACGUUACCAACAUACUAAGAACCGGCUAACUAUGUGCCAGCAGCCGCGGUAAUACAGAGGGUGCAAGCGUUAAUCGGAAUUACUGGGCGUAAAGCGCGCGUAGGUGGUUCAGUAAGAUGGGUGUGAAAUCCCCGUGCUUAACCUGGGAACUGCUUUCAUAACUGCUGAGCUAGAGUACGGUAGAGGGUAGUGGAAUUUCCUGUGUAGCGGUGAAAUGCGUAGAUAUAGGAAGGAACACCAGUGGCGAAGGCGACUACCUGGACUGAUACUGACACUGAGGUGCGAAAGCGUGGGGAGCAAACAGG